rnacentral:misc_RNA from 1 species
ACAUUUUUCAUUUCAUCCGUGCCUUGCACUCUACUUUUUAUUUAUCUAUUUAUUUACAGGAAUUUCCCGAGAAGUCAACAUUCCGUCUGCAUAAUUUGGAAAAGAAGUACGACACAAUGUCUUUAGCCGAGUUGAUGGCUUUGGAAGGAUUCAGCGAGAAUAUCGACUGGCACAAACUCGUAUCCGAUCUGCUGGGAAUCAGCGCCGACCCCAAGACCAUUAAGUUGCAGGUCUACUUCAAAGACAGGCUGCAGAGAAUCAUCGAGCACGUUAACGAAAAUAUUUACGACGCAUCCAACAUUCAUGCCAUGUUCAUGAUGCUGUGGAGUGAACAGCUGUACAACGACUUCGUCGACCCCCUCGGGGUUGCCAUGGGCUCUCCCGACUACUGCCUCCGCAUCGUCAAGAAUCUCAUGCACGACUUCUCGUCUUACCUCUACCUGGAGGCCUUGGGACCCAGCCUCGACGAGUAUCAGCAACAGAUCAACACGAUGGUCCGACUGACGAAGAAGACGGCCGAAGAGCAACUCCUUCGAGCGCAUCCUUCCUCGGCCAGCAACUUGCUCGUCGAGAAGCUGCGCAAAAUGACCGGCGAGACGAUGGACCUCCAGACCUCAAAAAACAUCCUGGCACAGAGCAUGAUGGGGGUGAAUAGUACUGGGAACUUCAUUGAAGACUGCCGGACACUCCUGCUGCGGUACAGAUCUUACUUAUACAGUAUGUAUACAAGAGGUCCCUCCAAUCCGGAAGUUAUGUGGAAUCAGUUCCUUCUACCUUACAAAAGUUACGGUACCUACGUCUACGCCAUGAACAAAUUCUUGAUCCCGUACGGUGCCAUGACGCCGCCGCUCUUCUAUGGCGACGACGUCCCCAAUUACAUCAACUUCGCUGGCAUUGGGCACAUGAUCGCUCACGAGCUCAUGCACAGCUUUGACGGCACAGGUAUCUACUACGACGGUGAAAAAAGGAACCAGGAUAAGAUCCCUGAGAGUCACCUUUAUGUACCUCAUACUGAGUGUCUGUCAGAAAAACUCAUUUAUCCCCAAGUUGUUAAUACAACAGCAGACCUUGACACAAACUUCACGCUGCCGCACCGCCUGGCCCUCAACGAACUUCUUUCGGACUCGGCGGCCACCAGACUGGCUUGGGAAACCUACAUCUCCUUACGUGGCCGGGGUGGAGGCAGCCAGACCAGCCGCCGGCGACGGUCCCUGGACUGGUAUCCCCGGGGGCUCGGGCCAAACGCCAGGCCUUGAUGCCGCCUCCGGCACCUCCUAAGCCCUUGCCUUCGACCAACACUUCGGAGCCAAAGCUGCCUUUCCUGGACCUGACACCCAUUCAACUCUACUUCCUCCGCACAGCACAGACACAGUGCAGCGCCACCAGUGACAUCAUGUUUAACGUCAAAGAGGAUGAGCACCUGCCGUCUCGCCUCAGAGUGAACAUGGUGCUGAUGAACGACCCGCUGUUCGCCGAGGCCUUCCAGUGCCAGGGGGUCGCCCAUGGUGGCCGAGGAGCAGUGCGACUUCUCCUUGGGGUAGAGCAGGGCGUCUCCAUCAGAGCUCUGUCUCUUUCCUCUCUCACUCUUUCUAUGCGCACGCAAUCUUAUACACUCAUACGCGCGGCACACACACACACACACACACACGCACACACACACACACACACACACACACACACACACACACACACACACACACACACACACACACACACACACACAACACACA